AAUGAGGGAGGUUUGUUAGUUAUAGAGAGUGGAAGGGAGUAAGAGAUGAAGAAGUGAUCAGACACAUGAAGUGGAGUUACAGAGAUGUUAGUGGUGGAGCAGUUUCUAGUAAAGAUGUAGUCAAGGUGAUUGCCGGCUUAGUGAGUAGGAGGAGAGGGACUGAGUGACAGAGCGAAGGAAGAAAGUAGGUGUAAGAGGUCAGAUGACUUCUCUGUCUGGAUGUUGAAGUCCAUUUUCGGGGAAAUUAGACAGGAGAAUGUCCAGUUCUUCCAAGAAAUGACCUAAGGAGCCUGGCGGACGGUAGAGGACAACGAUGGUUAAUUGUACCGGGUGAGUGACUGUUACAGCAUGGAAUUCAAAGGACAAUGGGGUGGAUGGUGGUAGAGGGUAGAGAGAAAAGCUCCAUUUGGGUGAAAUGAGUAGACCUGUGCCACCACCCCUACCAGUGGGCCUGGGAGUGUGGCUGAAGGAGAAGGCGGAGGAGAGAGCGGCUGGGGUGGAUGUGUUCUCAGGUGUGAUCCAGGUCUCGGUGAGAGCGAGGAAGUCGAGUGACUGCUGGAUAGCGAAGCCGGAGAUGAAGUCAGCCUUGCGAGUCGCUGACUGGCAGUUCCAGAGACCUCCUGUGACGAGGUGCUGGACAUGUGUGGAGCGGGUGGGAUAGGUGAGAGAGGAGAGGUUACGAUAGAGAGCAGAUCUAGCCCGAGGCCUGUAGUAUCUGCAGGAAGAGAUUCGAACAGGCAGGGGUAAAGGGGUCAAACACAUUAUUAAAAAUAGCAGAAGAAGGCGCCGAAUACUGUGUUUGACCCCCUUUCGCCUUCAGAACUGCCUUAAUUCUACGUGGCAUUGAUUCAACAAGGUGCUGAAAGCAUUGUUUAGAAAUGUUGGCCCAUAUUGAUAGGAUCUUGCAGUUGAUGGAGAUUUGUGGGAUGCACAUCCAGGGCACAAAGCUCCCGUUCCACCACAUCCCAAAGAUGCUUUAUUGGGUUGAGAUCUGCUGACUGGGGGCCAUUUUAGUACAGUGAACUCAUUGUCAUGUUCAAGAAACCAAUUUGAAAUGAUUCAAGCUUUGUGACAUGGUGCAUUAUCCUGCUGGAAGUAGCCAUCAGAGGAUGGGUACAUGGUGGCCAUAAAGGGAUGGACAUGGUCAGAAACAAUGCUCAGGUAGGCCGUGUUAAACAAUGCCCAAUUGGCACUAAGGGGCCUAAAGUGUGCCAAGAAAACAUCCCUCACACCAUUACACCACCACUCCCAGCCUGCACAGUGGUAACAAGGCACGAUGGAUCCAUGUUCUCAUUCUGUUUACGCCAAAUUCUGACUACCAUCUGAAUCUCUCAACAGAAAUGGAGACUCAUCAGACCAGGCAACAUUUUUCCAGUCUUCAACUGUCCAAUUUUGGUGAGCUCUUGCAAAUUGUAGCCUCUUUUUCCUAUUUGUAGUGGAGAUGAGUGGUACCCGGUGGGGUCAUCUGCUGUUGUAGCCCAUCCGCCUCAAGGUUGUGCGUGUUGUGGCUUCACAAAUGCUUUGCUGCAUACAUCGGUUGAAACGAGUGGUUAUUUCAGUCAAAGUUGCUCUUCUAUCAGCUUGAAUCAGUCGGCCCAUUCUCUUCUGACCUCUAGCAUCAACAAGGCAUUUUCGCCCACAGGACUGCCACAUACUGGAUGUUUUUCCCCUUUCACACCAUUCUUUGUAAACCCUAGAAAUGGUUGUGCAUGAAAAUCCCAUUAAUUGAGCAGAUUGUGAAAUACUCAGACAGGCCCGUCUGGCACCAACAACCAUGCCACGCUCAAAAUUGCUUAAAUUACAUUUUCUUUCCCAUUCUGACAAUCAGUUUGGUGUUCAGGAGAUUGUCUUGAACAGGACCACACCCCUAAAUGCAUUGAAGCAACUGCCAUGUGAUUGGCUGAUUAGAUAAUUGCAGUAAUAAGAAAUUGAACAGGUGUUCCUAAUAAUCCUUUAGGUGAGUGUAUAUAUAUGGCUCUUUAUCAAACAAAGCGCUCAUUUAGAUCUUUGAAAUGCAUGGUUGAUGAUCAUCAUAUGUCUUAUCUGGAUGUUUGACUAUUGUCGAACUGAAUGUAAUGUGGCCUUCUAAACACACUAGCAUGAAUGUAGAAAGUCUAACAUUCUGUAGAGACAUAUAUUGUGUGGAUUUGUUUGGAUGACAGCAAUUAUGCUAUGAAAGUCUAGCUUUGAAAUGUAGUAUCAGGCUUUGAAUUGUAAAUGCAAUUGAAAUGUAGUAUCAGGCUUUGAAUUGUAAAUGCAAUUCAAAAGUACAAUUUUUACAAUCUUUCAUGACAAGAGAAAUUGUUUGUGCAGAAGUACCUGAUCAAAUGUCUGUUGUAAUGGUCCUACCAGACAAAUGAGAUUCAUUUUCAUUAUAAAUAUUCUUCUGUCUGGUUAAUACUGUCUCUUAAAUCCCCUUCCAUCUGCUCAGCCAUCUAUUCUGAUGCGAGGAAAUUACCAGAGAUCCUUUCCUGGCAUAUAUGCAGCUUUCAACUAUGAUACACUAUCUGCUUGGCAAGCCCUCUGAUCAUCCAUUAUGGGCCAUGAAUGCAACACGGAACACAAGACGCAGAGCCUAAGCUGGUAUAGUUAUUUUUGAUACUGUAAACGUCGAUCGUAGUUCCUUCUGGACACUGGUCCUGACACCUGUCGUGGCCCUGCUGACGCCUGCUGCUGCCAUCAUCAUCAUCAUCAUUAUUUUAGAUAUUAAUAUUACUGUACUCAUAAACGAACAUUACCCUCUCCUAAAGUCUUUGUGCUCUCCCUCCCCACAGACUUCUGUGGAUGGUGGUUCUAUCUGAUGGUGGUUGCCCCUGCAGUGGUCCUGCUGUGCGCCUGGCUUACUACUUACAAUUACUUGAAUCAUUUCUGUCAUAGGAAUUGCAUGUAUUAUACAUUGAUCAUUCUGUACUAGUGAUGGGAAGUUCGGAUUUUACCGACUGGGUUCUUUGAAUCUUGUUCAGUAAAAUGAACAAAUCUUUUCGAGUCAUUCGUUCAUUUUGGGGGGUGGUAAGAUAUUACCGACCAUUUUACCGACUCGGUUCUUUGAAUCUCAUUCAGUAAAAUGAACGAAUGAAUUCCUGCAUUAAAUAAUAACUACUCCCGACCGUGUCUUCGGGUCAAUGUUUCGUUUAUCUGCCAACCGAGCCUUCGGGUCAAUGAUUCGUUCAUUGAGCCUAUGCAAGUCCCGAUGUGUGGCCACGAGAAAAUGAACUAAUCUUUUUUUGAGAGGACUCGUUACUCUCGAGCCCUUGUAAAGAUUCGUUCAAAAUGAACGAAUCGUUCACGAACGACACAUCACUAUUCUGUACACACUGCAUCCAUUGUAGUCUGUCCAUCCCGGAAGUGGGAUCCCUCCUCUGACGUUCUCCCUAAGGGUUCUUCCUUUUUUUUUGCCCUCUUGGAAAGGUUUUCUCAUUUUUUGGGGAGUUUUUCCUGUGCCGAUGGUGGGUUUCGGGACAGAGGAUUUCGUAUGUGUAAAGACUGUAAAGCCCUCUGAGGCAAAUUUGUAAUUUGCGAUUUUGGGCUAUACAAAAUAAAAUGAAAUGAAUUGAAUUUAACCUUCCUUCACAUCUGUCUUGCUGUAAACUAGGUUGUGUAAAAUAUCAAACAUCUCAACAAAACUCAAAGGUUUGUUUUCUCAUUGUGUUCAUGUCUCUGUACAGCUGCCCAUCAGUUUUGAUGUGUUUUUUGUCAACAUCUCUUGUUAAGCCUGGCCGUUCUUUCUUUUUUUAUAUGAAGGAUAUGUACACAGAUUAAAGUUUGUUGUCCACUAAACUGCCUUCAAUAGAAGUUAUUCCUCAGGACACAUCACAGUUUACACCUUGAAAAAAAAUAGAUAUAGUUGUGAAAUGGUUAGUGAGUCUUGUAAGCAGACCAUCAUUUCCUAAAAUUGCCAUGUUUGAAUUGACUGAUAUACAUGCCUUUUUCCAUUCCCGUGUGCCGCGAGAGGCUGUCAGGUGUGCCGUGAAAAAAAAUCAUUUUUUACAUACUGUCACUUCAUUGGUGAAAAAAAAAGCUGCAACUUGUGUGUUUGUGUCGUCGCGCUGUUGGUGGUAUGAAGGCGCAGUACUCCCCUCUGCCUGUGGGUGGCGGUACGCAGCGUAAUUAAUAGGCAGAUUUGCUGAGGCGACAAUUUAAAAAAGUGAGAUUUAUCCUUAACAAAAUUCCUAACACUGUUGUUGUGAUUUCUUUUAUUUUGGAAGAGGGGAUUAGAGCCCACCCUCCUGGUAUUCCUUGAGAUAUCACACCACAACAACUGGGAAUUUACAGACACAUUGUACUGAAGGCUGUGCAGGAGUUGGUGAGGUAGGUGCAGAGAUAAUCAAAUCGGUCUAUAAAACCGUGUUUCUUAAAUUAGGAAGAAAACCCUUUUUCUAUUCCUCAUUUGCUUGUCCUUCUCUCAAUACGCUUCACUAUCUCCCACAGUACACUUGGCUAUCUCCUUCUUAUCUCAUUGUCUCCUCGAAAGAGUUCGAUUUUCUCAGCUGUUGCUCUCCAUUGUUCCGUGAUGAAUGCAAAUUCUGCAACUCCCAGGAUGUGGAAACAGCCUCCCGAAAAUUACUUUGCACACCUCACUGGCUGUCAGACAGAGGGGAUGGGGAAAGGAAGGGUGGGAAAGAAUUGAAAGAGAGGUACGAAGAUGAGAAGGGUAGGAAACGUUUGGCGGAAAUAGGGAAGGUGAAGCAAUUCAGGAACAUUAAGAGGAAAGAGAAGACGAUGGCUGGAGCAGAGUUAGCCAGUGUGUUAAUGCCAUAUGCUCUUUAGACUUACCUGAACCUUCCUCUGGGCCUCCUGACCUGAGAACAGGAGGCAUCAGGCUCCUCAUUAGAAUGGCUUUUAUGAUCCUCUGAAGGUACAACCACGGGGUCAGCUUUUGAUAAUAUGCCAGGCAGGAAGGCCAAAUGCGUUUAGAUUGAUUUUGAGCGUUCUAUAAUGUUAAGGUGACGAGCAAGGAGAAAAUAAAGUUAAGUGCCACAUAGCUUUCGAUACUGACACACUAACAUGUUGAUUUACAUAACAAGCGUAUUUAUUCUUUUUUAGUCUUUUCCUUGCUGUGUAAAGGGAAUUUGUAUUGCCCAAACAAAGUACUUUUGCUACAAUGUCUCUAGGUUUACUUAGUUUAACUAAGUACUUUUGCUACACAGUUAAACUAAGUAAACCUAGAGACAUUGUUGUUAGAGGUGCCAGGCCACCAGGAAGCGGAAUAUGUUGAAAUAGACUAAAGUAAGUGUAGUAAGGAGAGCAAAACUGAUAAUUAAAAAAACUUUUUUAUUAAUAUUAAUUUUGGUCAGUAACAGGACAAAAACUCUUGAGGGCUGAUCAACUCUAGCGUUUCUGCAAUUGGAGUGAGACAAAGAGUAUGUGAUCUUAAAACAAUCAGCAUUAUGAUCUCUACAGCGUCUUCACUUCACCUCCAACUUUUCGUCCUCUUACUCCCUAUUCUCUAUUCUGGAGAGAGACGUUAACCAGCUCUUUAAAAGACAAAACCCUCAUAAGGCUGCCGGCCUGGACUCAGUCUCCCCUCACACCCUGAAGCAUUGUGCUGACCAGCUGUCGCUGGUGUUCACUGACAUCUUCAACACCUCCUUGGAGACAUGCCACGUACCAGCCUUAAAGGCUGCGUACUCCCCCCUCUGCUCUUCUCCCUGUACACCAACAGCUGCACCUCCAGUCACCAGUCCGUCAAGCUCCUGAAGUUUUGCGGAUGACACCACCAUUGGACUCAUCUCUGGUGGGGAUGAGUCCCCCUACAGGUGGGAGUCUGACCAUCUGGUGUCGUGUUGCAGCCAGAACAACCUGGAGCUCAACGCUCUAAAGACAGUGGAGAUGGUUGUGGAUUUCCGGAGGAACAGAGCCCCACCUUCCCCCAUUACCCUGUGCGACUCCGUCACUAUUGUGGAUUCCUUUCGUUUCCUGGGCUCCAUCAUCACCCAGGACCUCAAGUGGGAACUGAACAUCAGCUCUAUCACCAAGAGGGCUCAGUAGAGGUUGUUCUCCCUGAGGUAGCUGAAGAAAUUCAACCUGCCAAAGACGAUGAUGGUGCACUUUUACACGGCCAUCAUCGAGUCCAUCCUCUGCUCCUCCAUCACCGUCUGGUACGCUGCAGCCACAGCCAAGGACAAGGGCAGGCUGCAGCGUGUCAUCCGCUCUGCAGAGAGGGUGAUCGGCUGCAAUCUGCCGUCCCUGCAGGACUUGUUCGCUUCUAGGACCCUGAAGCGAGCCAAAAAGAUUGUAGCCGACCCCUCUCACCCCAGGACAAAACCUGUUUGUGCCCCUUCCGUCUGGCAGGAGGCUGAGGUCAUCAGGACUAAGAGCGGCAUUCGGGCUCAUCAACAGAGCCCAGUCCCCCACUGGCUGACAUUCCACCGGUCACCAACAUGUCUCCGCGGCCAAAAUGAAUCGCGCAAAGCCGCUGAUCCUAUAGCGUCUAUGACAAUUAUGCAAAUUAGGUGAUGACAUAAUUUAGCGGCACCCCCUCCCUCCCCCCCGUUGUCACCUUUUUCACCCCUUAUGAGUUUGCUUGGGUAAGACAACCAUCCCAUCCAUUUAAUAGACGUACAUUCUGCUUUGGUUUUAUAUUGGACUAUUCAACAAAGUCCCAAUGAUAGUGGUAGUCAUUAACAUACUAGGGAAGGGUGAAACUAGAAGACAAAAAGCUCUUUCCCACUACCUGCACAUGGAGCACAUGUAAUACUUAUGUUGAAGGGCCGGCCUUGUGUUUCCCCUGUGUUUUACAAAUCUUAACAUUUUGCUAAGGUCUCAUUCAAAAGGCUUCUCAUGUCCUGUUUGGUAUGUGCGGUUUAGUUGUCACAGCAGCUGACAAUGGAAGAUGUGUUAAUAAUAGUUUCCUUUCAACAACAUAACGUUAUUAUGGAAAGAUUUUCAGAGACAUAAGGUCACUCAGGUAGACCCCCCACAAGGCCGUUUCCAUAUGUGAAGAAUAAUGCUUGUACCCUGCCACAUGAUUCAGAUCUGCUCUAAUGUAAAGGACGUCCAUGGUCCAUAUUACCCCUGUCCACCAAGUGUAGAAUAUCAGAUGAAGGACAUUUAUCAAAGAUUGAAAUAAACACAGAAUCAUCGGACAUGAAUAUCGCACCUUCAUUUAUAAGGACCCUGUAAAAACAUGUUUUAUCCUUGUCAAGGCCUAAACAGCAACUUAAUUUUCUUUUUUCAAUCAUUUAUGUAAAAACAUCUAGUCAUAUUGACAUUUUCUUUCUUUGAUGAUGCAAUUUAAUUAAUCUCAAGUUUUGCCUGUGCGCUUGCACAUUGUCAUUGUUCUCAUCUUCAAGCUUGCUUGUGUUUUAACGUCCUCAAAGAGACAAGAGUAAACUUCAUUGCUGGAUAAAUUAAUGUAGAAAAAUAUCUGAUAAUAUUUUGAAAUUGUCCGAAUGGCAAAAUUUGACCUGAAUGAUAUGUAAAUGUCACAUCCCAGUCUCUAAGGUCUGUCAAUCAAAACCUGUUAUCCAUGCAACACGCACGCGUCUGAAGACAUGUGGGGAUAGAGCCUUUGAAGCUAUGGCAUCCAGACUCUGGAAUGCUCUACCAACCAGCAUUAGGUUUGCUGAGAAUGUGAACUGUUUUAAGGGACAAGUGAAGACUAGCGUUUGGGUAGCCUACGUCUUUUGAUCAUUUGUAUUUUAUAUUGACUGUUUUAAUGUCUAUGCACAUUGUAAAGCACUCUGUGACCUUGUCUGUGAACAGCGCUGUACAAAUACAUUUUACUUACUUACUUUACUUACAUCCAAGUACUGUUUUUUUUGCAUUCUUGAGUUGAUGAAAUGAUAAAAUUUUGAAAGACAUGCUCUCUCUGACUUUGGCUGAUUGAGGGUCAAAAGAACCCGAGGGCAGUACUUUUGUCAUUUUACUUUAUUAAGAAUGUUCUCUUUUUAGGGCUGCUCUGAAACUUUUCAUGGCAACACAAUGCCUUUGUUCUCUGUCAUCUUUAAUUCAUGAGAGUUGCAAUUAUUUAUCCAUUUUUCCAACUGUGUGUCUGUUCGUCAUACAACCGUUAACUGGUUUUAUUUUCAGGAAGUUGUGUAUUUACAGAGCACAUCUUUUGGGACUAGUGACAACAGAGACGCUCGACUUUUCUGGAUACCUUUCAAGUCCUGGUCUUGUGUGAUUUUGAUUUGAGUGUUUUUUUGGUUGUUGCAGUUAAUUGGGUUGAUUUUUCAAUCUGUUUUUAAAGAUGGAUCUACAUGAGCCUUAUGACUGCGGAUAGGACAUUUGCUCUCAUGCUGUUUUAAAUGUAUUAUAUGUACAGAAGUCUUUGAGUCACAAUACUUGAUCAGCGUCCUAUGGUGAGGCUGUCCCCCUUUAUGUCCUAUGUUUGUCAGUUGUUACAGUGGCUUUCUUAGUUUCAUUUGUACAUCUCUUUACAGAACACAUCUCUGAAGAGCCAUUAUUUGAAUUGUAAUGUGUAAAAUGUAAUAAUUAAUUCAAAAGUAGUGUAUUGUACAAGUUCACCUUCCGGGUAUGACCAGAGCAGAGGGCACGGUCGCUCCUACAUCAUCACGUGACCAAUUCCGGCUGGCACUUCUGCCACUCAGAACCAGACUUUUCAGUUUAUUUCCUGUUUCCUUCCUCCCGCCUGAGACAAUAAACAUUCCUGUUGGAUUAAGAAAUAUCUUGGUUGUCCUGCGUUUGCGUCUGUGCACAUGUCAUAACACUUUGUUUCUAUCAACUCCGCCGUCUGAAAGACUUCCAGAUACAUUUUGCUACAAUUCUCAAUUUUUCUGGCCACCCCUGCAUGUGGUCCUACACCGCCUUACAAUGGUCUCAUUGGUUGAGACGGGCCAUGACGUGCCUCCCAAGCCAAUACUGAUGAACACCCUCUCUCCUCCUGGAACCCAUGGUUAGUCUAUAUGUGUAUUCAGAACCAGUAAGCCAUAGACUUCAAAAUAAUAACAAAAAGUGACAUUUAUGUAAGAUAAUAAUUUAGUUAAUUAAUGAGUUAAAAUGUACUAUAUAUGUCUGUUUAGCCCAAACUGGCUUGUUAGCACUGUGUGCUAGUGCUUUCAUGGUGAUCUGUGUUUCACAAUAAUUUGUUGUGUUGGCUGAAUGUACACAAUAUUCUCCAAUCUUAUACCUAGGUAGAAAUGAAGCACUGAAAAACACCAAGAGCACUUGUCGCCAUUGAAGUAAGUGAGACAAAAAAUGUUGGCUUGACAAGAUGCAGCCGGUUUCAGAAAAUGUAACAGAUACCUCACUAAUGGGUAGAGCAUAAAGCAGCACACGAAUAACAGUUAACAUCUACAAUCACUUUCGGAGCAGCCACAUUACAUUCUAACACCAAUAAAAAACAAACAUUUACAGAGGAGAAUGAGCCGUGCAAGCAGCUGAUAAAAUGAGAGUGUAUUUGUAGUAGGGCCAGUGCUAGAGUGAAAAACAAUAUUGCCUGACUGGAGUUAUUUAAACUUUGCGAUAAAGCAGUAUUUGAUUGUAAAGUAAUUCACGACUUAAAAGAAGGUGUGCCGUUAAGUUGUCCAACAAUAGCUGUGGUAGUAGUAGUGGUUGAAAACUGUUUUUGAUCACUUGGGGGUAAUGGAAAGAAAAUGUAAACACAAGGCUGUCACGGUGGUGUGGUGGUUAGCCUCACAGCAAGAGGGUCCUGGGUUCAACUCCACCCAGUGGCCUUUCUGCGUGGAAACAGCAUGUUCUCCCGUGUCUGCGUGAGUUACAUUACAUUACAGGUAAUCUAUCCAAAGCAACUUACAUUGCAUUUUUAACCCAUGGCUUUUAACAUUUUUGACCGGGGGGCAAUUAGGAGUUAGGCAUCUUGCUCAGGGACGCUUCGACAUGGAGCAGCCGGGAUUCAAACCACCAACCGGUUCCCAGUGCACCCUCUCUACCCCUGCGCCACGACGACCCCGUUCUCUCUGAGUGCUCCCUCCCACGACAUGCUCUGGGGGUUAGGUUAAUUGGUGACCCUUUAUUUCCUGUAGAUGUGUGCAUGUGUGUGUCUCUGAGUCACCCUGCGAAUGACCUGUCUCUCGCCUGCCGCUGGCGGGGGUUCACUCCAGCGACCCUCUAUGAAGGAUAAGCGGCUUUGAAGAUGACAGACGGUAUCUACCAUUUUUAAAUUAGUAUUAAUGAGAAACAUGGCAGUGCCCUACGUCUUUACAUUUGUGAAUGUGACUUAGUUUAAGUAAUAAUGUGUCAUUAUUACUUAUACUACGAGCAUGUACGGUCCACUUUUGAAUGUAAUAAUCACAAUAAUUAAAAUAAAAUCAUCUCAUUUCAAACCUGAAUGGAGCAUCCCUAUCCAAUAUGAUACAACAAAUGAAAGAAGUCAGAAAUAAGAAAUAACUUUGUUACCUGCAUCAUCAUCAUGAGGCAAUUAAAAAUCCAUUUGAAAAUGUAACCAUGCCAGCUCCAGACAGAAAAGGGAGGUGGUUCUUACUUUAGACCGUAAUUUCCAUGCACAUUGUGCUGGGCGCCAUUUCUCUUGAAUGUAUUGGUCUCCUCGGUGUGGUGGAAUUUAAUAAAUAAGACAAUUUAGAGUGCCAGGGCACUGCAGUAGUCAUGCUGCAUAUCACCUCCUUUAUAUCCAAAAGAGAGUGGGGGGCGGAGAGGGUCUCUAAGUGUGUGUGUGUUUGAGUGAUGGGCGAUCAUUUUUUAAGUUAAUUGCUUAACAAACCUCCCACUAUCUGUGCAUAUGUCUCUACAGGCUGGUCUCAAUCGGCAUAGUAGAAGAUAAUGUGGUGUUCCUAAGUAUCCCAUGAAAUCAUUUAGGCUGUUUACACUUUUUAGUGUUUUUGGAUGUGGAUAAGUCUGCAAAGGCCUAUACAGAGCGGGUGGCUGGAAUACAAUUCAUUCAGUCUUUGGCUCCACAUGUGACACGUAGCUUGUGUUUCACAGCACUUUUUAUUUUAACACAGUGCCUUCAAUAUGCAAAAGAAACUUUGUACCUCUGGUCAAGCCGAGUGCACAAAAAUACUCUUGAAGUAACUGUUCAACGUGCAAAAAGUACUAUAAAGCCUACAGAUACAGGUUGACGUAUCUGUAGGACAGUUCAGCAGCACACACCUUACAUAAUUCCAAUAUCUUGCUGUAUUUUGCUCCAUUAGGUCUAGAGUGAUAAAAGCCAGCAACGGAAGGACAAUUGAAAGACAACUGAAGGACAAACCCUGCAGGGACGCGACAAUUUCCGGUGACAAAAAUUCUGAUAAUUAAUCCCUAUGAAAGGCUGUUUCUCUGCCAAAUUAUAGUUCUGCUACUUCUUAGAAAAAGGGACAACAACUUAAGUAGAUUUUCUGUUGAGUUUAGCAAACCAACCAAAAAUUCCGACAGCAAUCGCCAAAGCUUUUGCUCGAGGACUGACUCGACUGCUUAUUAAGCAGUAAUUACUGUAUAAGUGUGCAGAGGGAUGACUCCUGACUUCGGUGAUUGGACAGUUGCCUGUGCCAGACAGUGUGUGUGAGUUCCCGUACUUGCAGGUGGCUAAUUGCCAGUGUCUUUCGCUCUCCUCUUCGUUAACGUGUCCUUUCCUCCAUUUCUUUUCAGUCCCGUCUCAUUAAGAGUUGUUUGAGUGAGAAGAAAGUGACUUAAAGAUUGGAUAGCUAAUCUUCCCAACCUCAUUAUCUGGGAGAUGAUUAUACUCUGCUGUUGCUUUUUGUGCUCUGGAUAAAUCUCCUGUGGGAAUGUGUGUGCUGAUCUCUCUUUGACGAGGUGCAUCCUCAAACAUAGAGAGUACGUCCUCAAACAUCUGGACUGCAAUCAGUCAGCCAUUUAAAUCCUCUGAAGCUAACACCACCCCGUGUGUACGUAUGUGUUUGUAAGGUCGUAAUGUAAUUACCCAGCUGUUUUAAUGCUAACUAUCUGUGUGAGUAUGAGAUUACUUACUAUUACCAGCGUGCAUCAGCAUUUUGUAGCGUGGGUAGUUGGCAAAACACCUGUCAACAGAGGUGUAAAGCCUUUCAACACACAGGCACAAUCCGUAGUAAACAAAGCCAUCCAGAUUGAGACGAGAGCAGCUGGAAACUUUAUUGGGGCUCUUACUCAGCAGUAUUUGCAUAUGAAAACAUCCUGAGCGGUUGGACUAGCUUCAUUAAUUCAGAGAGAAAUGUUUUGUGUGGCUGUCUCCUCAACCUAUCCAUCUAGCUAUUUACCGUUGCUUGUCAGGUGAGUAAAUACUCCCAAAUGGUUUGUUUGUAUGUGUGUUUAAAGGUGAGGAAACUGUUGUUAUGAAUCAAUACACUCUGAUCAGUCAGCAUGGAUGCAUCAGCAUGCCGUGCUAAUAAGCCUGCUUGUACAAUCAAUUGCUAGGGAAACAAGUGAGUCUGUGCAUGCAAAACAUAUGCUAACUGAGUUCUGCAUUUAAUAAAACUUAAUGACAUAUAAUAUGAUAUAUUAAGUAUGACUACUUCGCUGUAAACAAUACAAGACCCUACUAUACAGAAACAAAUAGUGGUCAGUUUUCAUUGAUUCACAGUGAAUACAUUCAUUUUUACUUUUUUGUUGAGAAUAAUGUGAAUCCAGAUUUAAAUAAUUAUUUCUAUCAUUAGAUCUCUGCUUAUUAUUAAGCCAAUAACAUGUAGUCAACAAGACUAAAAGUCUACAACCACAGUAGUGCCUCCAUAAGGGUGUAGUCGAGGGUGGUAACUUCAGCAAGGUCAACAUGGGAGUGUCAUUAGUUUGAAAGGCAUUAGGUUGUAAUGAAAGUGAUUUAGACCUGGUUGAUGUGCUAGAUGAGAUAGAAGAGUUAAGGCAAGAUGAAUUUGGGGGUCAACACUGAUGUCGGUACCAAAUUUCAGAUUGUUGGGCCCUCUACCUUGCUAAUAAACCUCACCACGUUUUUCUUCACUGAGGACAAAGGAAAAACACAAACAUACUGUAUAGGGGUCCCCCGUGGCCUGAUGCAUCAGGAGCCCUGGCUCUCCAGACCCCCUUGGCCAUAAAAAGAGGAUGUACGAAAGAACACUGAGCGGUCCCAUUGGCCAAGGACAGUGACAUUUAUUUAUGGACCUCAACUUUAUAAAAAGAGAUUGCGCCAAAGGAUCAAUCUUUCGCCCGACUUCCCAGUUAGUGCUAGAUCGAGACACUACAACGUUGCUUUCUUUUCUUUUCCCUCCAAUUCCCAAGUUUCAGUCUUAAUCUCGCUGGACGAACUCAAGACUCUCGCUCCACUCCAUCCCCGCUUCUUUUCGCUUUUGAUUUCAUUCCCGUUUCACCCAGGAGGACCGGAGAGACAGCUGCUGACCCCCGCGCCGCCUCUGUUCCGAACGAGAAGUUCCAUAUCGCCUUUGCUCACUGAGUUUCCCUACGCGCAGCUCAACCUUCCUCAGUCAGCUGGAAGCUGAUGACCAACGGCACCGACUGUUUGAGCCCAUCAAACAGUAAGACUGGUUUUCUGGGCAGACUAAUUUAGCAUGUUUAUAUAAACUUGAUGUUUAUUUGAUUUGUUCAGUCAUAACGUGGUACGAUAUAGUCCGGAUCAACGAAUUCGCUACCUUUGAUUUAUGUUUGAAUGUGUACCUUCAAAUGUCGUAAUAUUUCCUGUUGAUCUGAUGCUGUGACGUUUUACUGCAAGGGAUUGAAAGCGCAAACUGUAUUACGCUGUUGAAUGAAAUCUCAUGGUCAAAAUAGUUCCUUAUUUUCUUUUCGAUCUUAGAUCGCUUGUCCCGGGUCUCCGCCGCGAGAUCCGUUUGCCUGUGGUUUUAUUUCGUAUCGCGGGCCACAUAGUUUGUUUCCGUAACUGCACACACAUAAGUCCGACCAUACUGAUUCACAUUGCCGCUGGUCAGAAUCCCCCCCCCCCCCCCCUUUUCCAAGCCGUAGUCCCUAGCAACAGAUAGCGUUGCCAUAGCAGUGCAAUUAUCGUCUUCCUCGUUGUUUUACUACGUGGAACAAUUGCAUUUCGCUCCCGCUCGCCCCUCGCGUCCAGUAGUCGUAUUACACUGCCUAACAUUCCCGUCUUCCUCGGUGGUUUGAUUUAACGGUCUUCCACCCCGCCGCUCUCGCUCGCCCCCUAGUGCGAUAAUCGGCACUCCGCUUGUUGUAGUUUCAGAGCUCACCCAUCACCCUGUAAUGGUCAAGAUAUUUCACUUUGAAUUAAAUAUGUGAACUGGUGGUGAGUAAGGGGAUCACUGGUCAGUAUAGGAUUCUUCUGGGAUUAAUAAAAAAUACUACUUGCAAUCUCUGCAAAACUAAUUGCAGUCUCAAGAAAACUUCUUCCGGAACAGCAAAAACACAAGAAAAGACGACUCAUUUAGGGCCUUUUAUAUAUUUGCUCCAUAUCUUGAGCCGUGAGAGUCAGGUGGUGUUAGGUAAAAACUCUAAACACUUACCACCGCUGUGCUGUGACGUUUGAAGGCAAUCUUGAAAAAAAGGUUAAGUACCCUGGGCUGGAGCUCCCCCUAAAUUAUACAUAAUUUUUCUGCUUGGCCACACUCAUUCCAAUGAAUUCACAGACAUCCAAGCUUCGGGAUUAAACGUGUUCUAUUUGACUUAAUGCUAAGGCGCCAAUUCACAGGUCAAACAGAAACAAGUAUGAGUUUGCUACUUGAAUUCAUAACAGGAGGAAAAGAGACUUACAGCUGACAUAUGAGCAAUUUAUGAGGCUUCCAAAAACUGGAGGAUUUCAUGUGCCAGUUAUAAAUCUCACAUUCCCAAGAAAUUAAGUAAAAUUGCAGACUUUGACUUUAAACGAUUAGCUCAUCUGAGCCCUUCAGUUGUUGACACUUGGGCCAUAAUUAACUCACACUCAGAUAACUAUGCUGUGUGUUCAUGUGUGUCUAUGUGCACUGUUGGCGUCAACGCCGUGACAUUAAGCCCUUAGUCAAAUGUCUAAAGUUAAAUCUUAUUUGGAUGUUUCUCUUUCAUAAAGCUUAAUGCACAAAUAGAGCCUUAUCUAAAAACAGACACAGUGAGAAGGAAAAAAAAGCCCCAUCAAAUAGAAAAUGCUUCCUUAGACAGAAUCCCCUCAUUUCGAAGGGAAAAGCUUGUUAAGUCAAUCACUGGAAGGUGGCAGCACUUCGGGAGAUAAAUCAGUACAGCGUCACAAGCUUUUUGCAAAAAGCAGAUGAUGACUCACAAAUGGAUUUCCCUUUUGAGGUCGGAAAUUGAAUUAAAGUUUUUACUUUUGUCUAAGGAAAUGCCAUCAGUGCAAUGUGAAACACGUUUGAUGUCGUUUUGAAUCUUCUGUCCUUAGUGGAUUGUUUUAACCUUACUGAGUAUUCAAUGGGUCCUCGUUGGUUGAUCUGAGUUGAGGCCCGAUGUUGGCAAUGUUCCGCUUGCUGAAAAGACUCCUACUGUGGCUAAAUGUUAAUUUCUAUUCUAUUCUGUGAAAGACACUCACAAAUGUGUUCCAGUCCGGUCCUGGUUAUUUUAAGUCCAAUGCAAGUGCUUUAUUCUAUAGUAAUACAUUACUUUGACAACUUACCGUCUACUCAGAGUAUUAGGAUUACACUAUUUGAGGCGAGGCAAGGCACGUCUUGACACUAGCACAAAAAACACAAUUAAGUUGCCCUAAUAGUCAUGUCGAGUUUGCUUUUUCCAAUUCAUGUCUGCGUUGCAAUGAGUUAAUAUUUAGGAAAAAAUAAAAACCUUGAAUAAAAGUGUUUCAUCAUUAUGUACAUAAGAUAAAUAUUAACUGCACAGCUAUAUAUUAAUACUAUAGCAUUGGCCGUUGCAAAAUAAUAAUACAUAACUACAUAUCUUCAGAAGAAAGCGUUGAUGGGUUUCACGGAAGAUUCUGCACCCCUUUCAAUCUCCAGGGAUGCUGGAUUUCAUGUGCCCCUUUCACCUCUAACACCUAAACUGCUACUUUGUCAUUGGACUGCAUCCGCUGAGUGCAUUCAUGAUUCCUCGAAAGGAGUGGACACCUCAUUUAGUCAUCAACGUCCUGUAUGUUUGGUGUAAUUAUUGUAAACGUAUGAGGAGGCUUUGUGGGCUUCAUUUGUAGCAUCUAUCUCACGCCAUUGGUUUCGCAAUGCUGGGAGAAAAGUUAUGAUAAGCUCCUUUGAACUCAGUUAAAUCUCCCUUUUUAUAAUAUAGCGUAAUGGUAACUUCUGCUUCACUCAUUUCAUCAUCUAUCACUGGUAAGGCAAGGAUGGCACACUUUAGCUGUCUAAACUGAGAAACAGCGCCCUUUAUCUGUUUUAUUCAAAUCGGCACUACAUGUGGUGCAGAGAAAUAAAUUCAGGGCCCUGUUCCUCGGACGUGGUUCAACGAAUUCGAUCAAAUGUGCGUUCAUCCAGCUCAUCUAUCUCGGUUCCUCGAAGGCGGAUCGGCGCUCAAACCGUCUCGUUAGUUUGAACCAGAUGUCAGUCAUCAGGAUAAUCUCGCGUGCGCGUCCUACGUUAGAAGGCGGAAGAGUCGAUCACUGGAACAAGGAUUUUUUAACAGCAUAACGGCAAAUAAAUUUAAAGGAAGAGCAUCUUUUUUCUCCGCUGGCGAGCAGGAGAUGAUCAUGAACGCAUAUGAGGAGAUAAUAUGUUAAUAUGAAUCAUUUCUGUCGGAUGAAUUUAACGUAUUAUACAUAUUUUACGUUGUUCAUUCUGUACGUCCAUCGCAGUCUCUCUGUCCAGGGAGGAGCGUCCUCGGUCUCCCUAAAGGUUUCUUCCCCUUAUUCUCCCCAUCAAAUACUUUUUCAUUGUUUUUCCUGCGCCGAUGUGAGCGUUUCUGGACAGAGGAUGUCACAUGUGUACAGUAAUGUGUACAGACUGUAAAGACCUCUGAGGCAAAUUUGCAAUAUUGUGCUAUACAAAAUACAAAUGAAAUGAAUCAUAAUCAUGGCAAAAACAGACACCGCCCCCCUGUGAGGCUACAAGCCCGACAAAGUAUCGCAGACAAGUUAACGUUAAAUGCAUGUUGGUCAAAUGUAUAGGCUCAUUGUAAGUGCCUCAUCACUCUAAUCAAUCAGAUUAUAUUUCUUUAAAUGUGCCUGCUGGCAGGAGGCUUCAUGGAUGCAUCAUCAUCCAAUGAGAAUAAUGAUCAACUCUUUCAGAGCAUGUAGAUGAAAACAAGCCCAAAGAAUCAAAUUGAUAUGAAUGAAUAGGAUACAUGUACCGUAUCAGCUUAUGUAUCAUAUGUAUGUGUAGAUAACCAUAUAGAACUAGGGAUUUUAUUAUGUGUGUGAAUGUGUAUGGGAGAAUCAGUAUAUAUCUGUUACUCAUAAUCAGACAUUUGAUCAAUCGAAGUAGUGACAUGUGGAACAUCCAGAAGUUUAUUAAAUGACAAAUAAACCAACAGAACUUCACGAAGAGCACGACAUGCAGCGGCUUUCCAGAUGUUCUUUGCAUUACAACACUGUACAGACAUGGACAGUAUGAGUGACAGUGUGUCAGACAUGAGAGUGUGUGAGAGGCAGUGGGAGACAGUCCGUGGGGCAGUAUGUGAGACAGCACGUGGCGUUCAUCACGUACCAUUUCGGCUCGGGAAAAUCUUCUUGGAAAUAAAUGAUGCCUUGUCCUCAGCAUCUGUAGCGCUCGUACAGGACGUCAUCGCGGCUUAACAGGUCUUUGUGAUCUCGGAGAAGUCUCUCCCUAUAAAACGUUAAUCUAACUGACAUCACUCCUUCAUCAACGAGGAAGUGAGCUGCCCUUAUUUUCCGGGGGAGUGGCGAACUAAUCCAGCAGCUCAAAUGAACCUGCGCCGGAGCAGGUUCAAGUUUUUGAUGUGUUGCUGUGGUGAUUUAGACAAACCUGCUUCGGGCAACCGAAAAGCCUGAUUUUCAUCUUAUCCUGAAAAUGAUCCGGCUAACUCCGUUAACCACGUACGAGGAACAGGGCCCAGGAGAGCAACACUUUAUAGUACUCGUUGAUUACAGCACUUAAGCAAAAUACAUGGGGAAAUAAUGUAUCAGUAUCACAUGACUACUGAGAAGAACAGCUCAGCACCUUCAAUAAGGAUACGAGACUGACUGAGGGACAUAGCAAAGAUCAAAUGAUGUGAACGUCCACACUGACAUUUAUUACAUCAUAAAAAUGUGUAACUAUUUUGAUUGACAGAGAGAACUUCAUCAGGUCAAUUAUUCUGCAAUUCAUAACAGUGGUUAUUAAUCCAAUAAAGGAAUCAGUAGAGAAUCAAACACCGCUUUGAUGUUGUCCUUCACAACAACCCUAAUGUAUCAAUCAAAAUUAAUCAUCGGUUUUCCUUACCGCAAAGAAAAUCAAAAGGCUUAAUGUAGAAAUUUGGCCUUUUUUUCAACAAUAUAAACGAGUAGUCUAGCUGAAAACAAAUAACUAUAUUUUUGGCAGAAUUGAGUUAGUUGUGCUGUAUCAGUAGAGCAUUAAAGAAAGAAAUUCAAAUUAAUUAAAAUUAAACAAUGAAAAGGUUAAUGGACCCUUUGCUCAGAACCGCUACGUUUUCUCCCUGUCAAACUGUCAUGGAAACCACGCCUCCACUAACUGCCUGUGCAGUCCUGGACGACAAAGGGGAGGACAGUAGAACCCGUAGUCAUAGACCCCCCACUGGGCACCAGGUCCCUCACUGGAGAAGGGCUGUGUGACGUGACCCAACCCUGAGUUUCAUAUUCUCUAACAAAAACGUUCUCUUUUGCUGAACAACCCAUUAGCAACAGUUUGAGGCUUUGCAAGGUGGCUGAUUUUAUUCUACUAAAAUCCAGUUUAGUCUUUGCUGGACGAACAAAGACUUUCACUUUACCUUGUUUCUGUUUGCUUUGCUUUGCUCUACCAAAGGUAAACAGGUCUUAAUGAGUGAAUAUCUAUGGUGAGACAUUUAUUAUGAUUUAUAGUAUCGGUUAUUAGCCCCUCUUAGCACAGGGUUGUGCCCUUUCAUUUAUUUAUUUUAAUCAUCUUAGAGAUUAUUAAUAACUAUAUUGAUGUCAAUAAUUUAGUUUCACACUAGCUAUUAACCAAAUAUGCAUCCUUCCGAUCCCAAAUGCAUGGAAGUGCAAAGGCUAGCUUAUAAUGUGUGAAAAUAUGCUACCACUGUUAGCUCCACAGGAUUUUAAAUACAAAUCAGCUCCAAAACCAAAAACCAUGAAAAUUAAGAAAAUCAAAAAAAAAAAAAACUGAAAGAGUUUCAUACACAGUUGAGAUAGACCAGGGUCUGAAGACUUAGAGGUAACUAAUGCCACCUCAUGAUUGGCCGGCCCGCAUUCCAGGGGUGGGACAAUGUUGUAAUCCUAGUGUUUAUUUGAAAAUGAACACAUGACUCAGCAAAAACUAAAUGGAUUCCUGUCUAACCCUGGGCCCUGUUCCUCGUACGUGGUUCAGCUAAGUCGAUCAAAUGUCCCCUUCGCCAGCUCCAAUUAACGAGAUGAUUGAUGUCAGGCUAUUUGGGUUCCUCAAAGGCUGAUCCACACUGAAGUCGUCUCUUUAGUUUGAACCAGAUGUCAGUCAUCAGAAUAAUCCCGCUUGCACGUCCGACGUUAGAAGGCGGAAGAGUUUAACACUACAGUGGCAAAUAAACUUAAAGGAAGAGUACUUUUUCUCCGCUGACGAGCAGGAGAUGAUGAUGAACGCAUAUAAAGGAGAUGAAGUGUAUUUGAAUCAUUUCUGUCAGAUAAAUUGAACGUAUUGUACAUCUUUUACGAUGUUCAUUCUGUACGUCAUCGCAGUAAUAUGAUCGUCUCUAAACAUUCAGUACGUUCCCAUGUCUGCCCAGUCUUCACCUUCAUCAACUCAUCCUUCCAGCCUCUCAGCCAACUGCCCCACCGGGUCUGGACGCGGGUGGAUUUAUCUUUAUUGAUCAUACAUCUUCCUGUAGAGCUUGAAUGCUGGCUGUAGCAUUACAAAUCCUUUAUUAAUAAACAAUUAUCUUUGUUGAAUGGGGACUAAAUCGUGCUACUGCUGCUGUUGCAAAGAAAGGUAAAACGUUUUGGUGCUUUGUCAGGCUUCAGGCAAGUUGUACUGUUGGGGGUGACUAUGCCUCCAUUACUCCGGUUGCAAAAGGGGGAGUCACACUUCCACAGUCCUCUGCUGAUAAAGAAUCUCCAAAUGUGCGUACUUCACCCAUUUAAUUAGCUUCUGUUCAGAUUUUUCUAUCUUGAUUAUUUCUCCAGUAUGCUGGCUGAAUUGUCCUCACCGAGAAUGCGUUUUCUUUUCUUUUUUGCGGUGAGUGUAGAGCCUCAUAUCAGUGGAUGCACUUGUGUUUGUAGAAGCGGGGGGCCAUGUCUCUUUGAGUGUGGUGUGAAAUAUUGCAUGAAUAUGAAAAUUGCUCCCAUAAAUAGGCUUUACUUAAAGUUCUGUGAAACUUUAAUUUCGACCCCCCCGUGGCACAUGAAUCUCAUCUCGGCGUCUCCCCGGAGAACUCUCUCUGUGACUUCCCUCUAUUUUUAUUUUUCUGCUUCGCUUGUUCCUCUCUGUUCAUUCAUCUCAUCUUUGCCUCGACCCUUUCCCCUCCUCUUCCUUUUUUAAAGUCUUUCCGUCUCUCUCAUGUCUUCCAAUGUUCCAGCUUUCUUUUUUCAGUGGCAUAAAUAAGCCGGUCGGAGAUCAAACAAACACAGGCGCAGUGGCGUGUGUGUAGGUGUGUCUGUGUGCACACAUGCUUUUGAGGAUUAUAGUCAGGGUGUGGGAUGUGAGCGGCUUAUCAAGAUCAAUAUCUGCAAUCAAAUGAGAUUACUUUGAAUGAAGCUAAUACAGACCAGACGAUGAGAAUGAAAAGGUAGGGAAGUAAAGAAAAGGCUGAAAACUGAAAUGACAGAAUGAUGGCGAGACAUUUCUUAAAAUUGGUUCUUGUAGCUCCACAUGAUCAGAUAAAAAUACCUAAUACCUGACAGGUAUAGUUCAGAGAUGACAGCGCUUUUUUUUGUCGAUAAAAAGAAACAUUUAUUCUGAAGAAGAAAAAAAACAAAGAGGAAUUGAAGGCAAACGGAUAAGAUAGAAAAAGACAGAUAGGUGGCCACAUUGAUGGAGAUGUAGAACAUUACAAGAUCUUUGACUGUAAUCUCAGAGAAUUUCUGAUGUUUUCAGAAGCUUGAGAAGAGAAUAUAACGUUUUGUUCUCAAAGAUGUACCUCUUUAAUCAUAUCCUAUUAGUGUUAUCCUUCUCUGACAUAACAUUAUUUUUUAUUUCCCUAAUAUGCUAUCGUCAGUACAGAAAGGCCACUGGGUGGAGUCGAACCCAGGACCUUCUUGCUGUGAGGCGUCAGUGCUGACCAUCACAGUUGGAAAUAAAUGUGAAUCCAGCUUGUCUGACUACUCCCACGCCCCACCUCCGUAGACUCAUUUGGACCAAAACCCGACAUGGACAUAUUGUCUUGAUAGAAAGUCAAAUUUCUCUUGUGUUUUUUCCGCCAACCUCAAAUAUGGUAGCUGUGCUAAAUCACAAAUAUUUAGUUUAGGGAUACUAACCUUCAUCACAGUUUGAUGGGCUUUUAUUCAAAUUAAGCUAUAUUUAUCUAUGAAAGUAGAUAUGAGGUGAAGUAACCCAUGUUAUGUUUUUAGAUCUGCAAUUUUCACACAAGCGUCUACCCUCAGGCAGGAGGUACAGAAGUGCCAAAUGCAGGACCACCAGACUGAAAAACUCUUUUUUUCCCCACUGCCAUUAGAGCCAUCAACCGCUGAGAGGACUCUAUAACCUAAUCCACAACUGGUCUGCACUUUAGCUUGUUAGAGUUUCACUUACUGUUACUGUACUGUUAAUUUAUAUUGCUGUUACGUACCUAAAGUGUCUAGGGGUGGAGGACGUAAACAAGUUAAAAUAAUAAACCUGGGAGAUCUGGAUCAACGGCAAAACAAGGAUAUUUAAUGAAGGAAAACAAUACAACUGAAAACAAUCUCCCAAAGGAAGACGAGUACAGCGUAUGGCUUCUUCUUUACUGGCUCCCAAAACGUCCGCACCUCGCAACCUCUCUGGCUUGGCACAGCCAUUUAAUCCCCUUCUGAUCAGCUGCAGGAGUGAAGUCGCCAGCACACCUGAAGGAAAUCACACCCACUCUCACUCACACACACACACACGCAAACACAAACAAGGCACGUAACAAUUGCACUCAUUUAAUUUAAGUUUUUUUCUUUUACAACCAGCUCAGUGUUUCACUUUUCCUCCUCACCUCAUUUCUGCCUUAUCCGUACCUAAUUUUUAUUUUUUAUUUCAUGUACAUUUAUGUAAAUAUUGUAUUUUUAUUUUAAUUCUAAAAUUGGUCGGCUUUCCGGAAUGGCAAGCACAAGAAUUUCAAUACACAGGGCGUGUGUAAAUGACAAUAAAAAUCUUUGAAUCUUUAAGUCUUCCACAUUCAGGGCAGCAUUUAAGGACGCUUCAAACCCUCUCUUCCCGAUCUGGCCAUCAACCUUUCCUUCUCAUCACUGUUGAUGCCCUCCAUUUAGAUCUUCUCCAUCCGUCGCCCCAGCCGAGCGUGCCUUAAAAAAAAGAUAUCACGGUUACUAAACCGAUUCUAUGUAUUGUGUGUUAUUGUUUUACCUCUUGACAACAGAUAAGCUGGUCCUCGACGUUACGGCCUAUAUCCCGAGGCAUUCCCAAAGGCCGUAACAGUCCUAUAAACUCUUUAAAUGGUAACCUCACCUUUCCCUACUAGCUGUAAACAUCUUAUUCUAUGUUUAAUCCUAAUGUCCUUCUGUCAAAUCAAACUUCUUUUUUGUAGGUGAUUUUCCAUUUUUUACUCCAUUUUACCUCAAGAAUGAUCGUUCACUUUGUUUUACUUGAAGAUCUCAACCAUGAAUUGAAAGACAUGUUGUGAUAAUUCAGAUUGUUCAUUUUGCUAAGCAAGAACCUUAAUUAAAGACAAAUCACACCUAGUUGUGAAGGCACAUUCCUUUCAGGGUUUUUAUGUCCUGCAGCAGAACACUGCAUUCGUAAGUCAGCCUUGGGUUUUAUCCAAUGGUGGGAGCCCAACGCCAGUGAUAAUCCAUAAGUCAUUCAUCGACAUGUUUCCAUGUGAGAAAUCUGUAGACAGAGAAGACGAUUAAAGGGUUGAAAGAAAUGUGGAACCAGAAGAUGCUAUAGGGAGAAGCAGCACAUCCUGUGUCGCAAUUAAGUUUGAUUGUUAUUUGUUCAAACAAAGCUAAUGAGCAGCAGAGGUAGACUUAAACAAGGCUUUUUCUACUGAUGACACAUUUGGACUGUUAAAUGGAGUGAGGAGUCAAUAGUUAAGGACAGUAUAAACUGAUCAAUAAAACAUUAAUUGAUUCAUCGCAACCACGGGAGCCUCUGAGCAUGUAGCCCCGACUGAGUGCAGACAAUAUUUGGUUGACGGGUCGUGUGUGCAAAAUUAGUUGAAAAGGGACACACACACAUAAAUAAACAAUAAAACGUGGGAUCUUCCCACAGGCCGAGGUGAUAGAGAAUAUAGUUCACUUAAUAAAAUGGCCUCCACUCUGUUUCUCUUUGGUUGAUGUUUUGGCAAGUAUGAUGUAAGUAGCGCUUAAAUGUAAGUACAAAAAUAUAAUAACAGUAUAGCUAAAAGAGAGUAUUCCUCAACAUGACUCAGAAAAAAUAGUUGUGUAAAUCUUAUUCCUAUUUAAGUUAUUGCUCAAUUUGAGAAUUCUCCAAUGAAAAACAAUCAAGUCAAUCUUCAGUUUUUCAAAGAAUUUGGGAUCUUUCAAACAUUCUUUUUUUUUUUUUUCUAGAUACUGAUAACAGUCUUUAACUCACAGAGACGUUUUGAUCUCUAAUUUAUGCAGCGGAGUUAAUACAGUUAUUUCCAUUCACACCGUCAUCUGGAAGCUUGAGGCCAGCCUUCCCACUUUUCUAUUAAUAAAUUAAGCAUUAAUAAAAUCCAUGAGAAUAAGACAAACAGAUUUAAACAAGUUUGAUUAAUACAUUUAUUGAUUUAGAUUUGAAUUAACUGUAUAUCUCAAGCAAA
ensembl:lncRNA